UCAACAGUUAGGACAGGUUUAUUCAGAACAAAGCUAGAGGGACCACCCUGGUCCUUAGACCAGACUUGUGACUCUCCAGGCUAUGAGGUCCAUUGUAGGGUUGUGAGCAUAAAGUGGGGUGGGGGGUGGGGUGAGGGGAAAAGUUCAGUGAAAAGGAGCUGUGGCUAUCUGGUAACCCAUGAUUAUGCAUCUUUAGCAGACAUGAAAGCAGAAGAGGAUGGGAGAAGCUUAAACUGAUCAACCUAGGAUGGUGGUGGUUGGAUUCCUUCCAUCGUCCUUAAACAUCAUCAUCUUAGUCUUUUCUACCUUAUUCUUUAUUAACAUUCUAAUUUUGUUUAUUCAAGUGCUUACUACCUGAUUACUCUCAGGUCCUAUUGAAUCCAGAAGGAGAAACCUAUACCUGUUUUGACUGAUCUCCAAUGCCUACCACAGUUUUUAGCCCAUGGAAAAGAAGAAGGAAGUCUUCCUAGUCUCACCUCGGAGGAGCUCUUGUCUUUGCCAUCACCUGUGGAUAUUCAUCUCCACUUCCUUCAGACUUCCAAUGCAGACCCGGUAGCUUUCUGACAGGAACUCACACUGGACUCUGCAGUGAGCUCUGGGCCUUCAACUUUCAACUGCAUCCUCUGGCUCUCCAGCACACAGACAGCCAUUUUGUAUUCUUCACCCCGGACUCCACAGGCAGCCAUUGCAACCGACUGGAAAUCCUUUACAUAAUCAUCGCUGUGAUAUGAUGUGGUGGAACCUGCUGCUGCAUGCUGCCCAACAGAAAGGCAGCUCAGAGAAACAAUGCAGUGCAUCCUCAUCUGCCUCAUCCACGGGGUCUGCACAGUGCCGCUCUGGAUCUUCCCUACAGUCAAAAGAACAAUGAAAGUAAACAUUUUGAAUCAAUUCAGGAUGUUGAGACAGCCACCACAGCACAACUACAGACACUCCAGGAAGAAGACUUCCAGAACUGCUUCAGAAAAUGCAAAGAUAAGUGUGUUUGAAGCAAGAGGGAAUGUUUUGAGGGGUGGAUGGCAAUGUGUCUUUUUUGAAUUGCUACCUGAUUUUUCAUUAGUGUAAGCUCGCACUACACAGUGAUUACAUUCAUUGUCCGGUGUUGGCAUACGUAUGUCGCACAUCUUGAUUCUUUUUACUUCCCUCUUCCCUGAUCUCCUUUGGCAAUGUGUCUUUUUAUUGCAAUCAGCUUCUAUAAAAUUUAAACACUCAAUGAAUUUCUCUAUUACUCUUUCAAUGGGAGGAUGUGUGUAGGUUCCAUACGUAUACUAGACCAUCAUUUAUGGGGAACUAGAGCAUUUACAAACUUUGCUAUCUGUCAUAUGAUACAGCACUCAGAGUGCCAGUGGUGUGCGCAGUAAAAGAAUUUACCAAAAUCAUAGCAAGGAAGAAGAGUUUUCAAGUCAACCAUAAGAGUGUGGCAGGAGAUUUCCCAGAGAGGGUUGAGCCACAUGGGAAGAGUAAGGAGCCUUUGAAGGCUGCUUGAGCUUGAGAAAGUCAUAGAUAAGUCUUCUAGGCUCAGGAAGGGAAGUUAGCGGUUGUGUUUGAAGCCUGGACUUUAAAAUGUAAGAGAUGGACCAUCUGGCAAUGAAACUGGGCUCCACAUUUCCUCCCUUACAGACCAGAAUGGAUUGGUAGUGGAAUGGUGGGAUAGGGGCAGAGCUUGCUUGCUUGCUUUCUCUCUCCUUCCUGCCUUCCUGCCUUCCUUCCUUCCUUCCUUCCUUCCUGCCUGCCUUCCUGCCUUCCUGCCUUCCUGCCUUCCUGCCUG